CACCUAUCAGGGAGGGGCUGCCCCUUCUUAAGCAUCGAUUGGCCGCAGUAUGUUAUGUGUCAUGUCCGAUGUUCCGCUUGGUGCGUGUUGAUAAUAGCGACGGCGUGUCUCUUGCCCUGUGUGUGUGGUGCCCUGGUUGCGCUGUUUAAGUGGAUAUUACGAAUGUUCACCCUCAGUUGCCGGCGGCUGAUAAGGCUGUGCUGAACCCAUGCCUGUAGCAGGUUAUGUUUAUCAUACCAUUGGUUGGAUUCUCCCUUUUUGUUCUCUGCGUCACUUUGCUGUGAUUCCGGAUUUGUGAUCUGCCGUUCGUAUUGCCGUAAAAGCAUCACGGUCUCUUCCACGUAACUCAACGAGGACCGUAAACUGUCUGGUUCAGCUGUGUAUUGCCCCAUUCUAACUA